CACCACAAAAUCAUCAUUUGCAUGGGACAGCAAAAUACAACACCUUGAACACGACUUCAUGCUUCCCCAUGGGUUCCUUCAGCCAUCACUUGUGGCAGAUGAGUUGGUGAACCAUCUCCUUUUGCAUCUAGAACUCAAUGGCUGCAAUCCUCAUUCUUCUCAUUCAGCAUCAUAGAAUAGAAUAACAAUAUCAUCACCUCUUUUCCUGGCCUUGUGCGAGUUCCCAAAUUACUCAUUUCCAGUUUCCACAUCAUCAAUUUCUGCAAAUUCU
rnacentral:misc_RNA from 1 species